GAGAUACAAAAGCAUGCAAAUGUUAAAAAACAGAGGUGUUAAGGUUAGUAUUUGACAUGUCAACCUUUUUCUCAGUUAAAAUGUUUCUAAUAGAGCCGCUUGCAUAAUACUCACCAGUUGUCUUCCACACAAAUGGUCUUCCUAUUUACUCUGAUUUUCAAUUCUUUACAUAGAUUUUCAUCUGGAUAUAAGUCUGGUGAUUUGCUGGGUCAUUCAAGCAGUUUUACUUUCACUUGACAGUUUCUUUGACUUUGUUUUUGACAGUGGAGUCUUGCGCAGUGAGUGUGUAGAUGUCAUUGUCAGUUAAAAAUUGUACCUGCUUUUUCCAGGUGUUUGUUUUUUAAGCUUUACAUGGCUUUUUGACUCCUGCAACAACUCUUGAUUAUGCUUCUGACGUCUGACAAGAGGCCUCUUGGCCGUGGCUUUUUUUUGUGAUAGUUUUUCUUUUUUCCACUUCUGUAUUAUGGCUGCAAUGACCCUCAUGGUAACAUUUAGAAAUAUAAUAAUAAUAAUAAUAAUACAUUUUAUUUGAAAGGCGCCUUUCUGGCACUCAAGGACACCGUACAGAGAACGAAAAAUAGCAAAAAACAAUAAAAUAUAGUAAUUAAAAAUAGGUAGAAUAAAUACACAACAAUGUAUCUAUAUAAAAUCUAUAUGUAAAUCUAUGUAAAAAAUCUAUAUAAAAAUCAAGCAAACCAAUUGUGUCAUGUUGAAAAGGCAGAUCUAAAAAGGUGUGUUUUAAGUUCGGUUUUAAAUUUAGGGAAUGAAUUUAUAUUUCUAAGGUGAGGUGGUAGGGAGUUCCAGAGUUGGGGGGCAGAGUGACUGAAAGCUCUGCUCCCCAUGGUAGUAAGACGGACAGAGGGGACAGACAAAUGGAUAGAGGAGGAUGAUCUGAGGGAACGAGAGGGAGUGGCAAUAUGAAUAAGAUUGGAAAGAUAUAGUGGGGAGAGAUUGUAAAGAGCCUUGAAAGUAUACAGAAGAAUUUUGUAUUCUAUGCGGAACUUGGUAGGCAGCCAAUGAAGUCUUUGCAAGAUAGGAGUAAUGUGGUGCAUGGAUGGGGUUUUAGUAAUGAUACGGGCAGCUGAGUUCUGGACCAGUUGAAGCUUAUGAAGAGAUUUCUGGGUGAGACCAAACAGAAGGGAGUUGCAAUAGUCCAGGCGUGAUGUCACAAGACAGUGAACAAGAAUGGCAGCGGAAUGGGAAGUAAGGGAGGGGCGAAGACGGUUGAUGUUGCGUAGAUGAAAAUAAGCUGAGCGGGUAAUAUUGUUAAUAUGAGACUGGAAAGAAAGGGUGCUGUCAAGAAUAACACCCAGACUGGUGUGUAUAGCUGUAAUAAUUACCAUUGGUAUAUUUUGCAACAGUCUUGAGUCUUUACUUUUACUAAUCAUGGCUCUCAGUGCUCUACUCUGGUGAAAUGAAAAGGCUCUUUUU